rnacentral:misc_RNA from 1 species
UUAAGUUCAGCGGGUAGUCUCACCCGAUUUGAGGUCAAGGUUUUCUUUUGUGGGUCCAGCCCUCCCCCGCCAAUGUAGACGGAGGCGACCGGAGCACCAUCAUUUGUCCGUUGGACAGUUAGGAGCAGGAAUCCAAAGGGACAGUGCCAAAUCCAAAACGUAGAAACAUCUUAUCACGUCAAGGACCGACAAAGCGGACC